AAUCUGUUAGGUCAUGUUCAAAUCUAUUCCAAGAUGGCGCCCGUCCGCCCGCAACAAACAUUUGCGAGCGUGAUUUUCUCCCGUUUUGCUCGAUCCAUGCCGCCGUUUUUGAGUGAGUUGAUGGUUGAUAAAAUUAAAAUAAUAUAAUUUGGAUACUUUUGUCAUUAUUAGAACUCAUUACAAUAUACUGGUAAUUGUAUACAUAUUUUAAAUAUAAAACUAGUUAUGUAUAAUUGUUAAACAAUAUCAUGGUAUUGCCACUCUACUCAAUGUCUAAAAGUGUUGCAAUAAUUUGUUUGUGUUUUGUAGCGCUCAUAAAGGCCUCCCAGCCAGCACCCUUCUAUACAAAGCAAGCAGGAGGCUCCUGAGCCAUCUCGGUGAUCCUGAGCAAGUGUAGUCCCAAAUCAGGUUUCUUUGUCUGAAGAGCAACUCCGGAGUUAAAAGGUUUGACUCGGACAACGGGACUUCGGAGCAUGGCUUUUCAAACGGAGUGCGCUCAUAAAGGCCUCCCAGCCAGCACCCUUCGAAACAUAGCAAGCAGGAGGCUCCUGAGCCAUCUCGGUGAUCCUGAGGAAGUGUAGUCCCAAAUCAGGGUUUUUCUGUAUGAAGCCAGUGAGCAGAGGCCGAUGAGAAGUCACACCAUUGAACUGCCUGACGCAGAGCUGUG